rnacentral:tRNA from 1 species
GGUGGUAGCUCAGUUGGUAGAGCAUCAGCCUUCCAAGCUGAGGGUCGCGGGUUCGAGCCCCGUCCGC